CUUCCUGUACUUUCUUCUGCCGUGGUAAGCCCUCAGCCCAGUUCCUCCCUAAAUUUGUUUUUAGUAAAGUAAAUUCUACUAUUUCUAUUUUUAUACUGUUGUCCAAGAAGGGAGUUUCUGGUCUGCCCUGUGUGUGUGUGGAAAUAUGUUUUAAAAUAAUUGCCAAUAAAUUUUCCUUAACUGAUGGUA